UCCCCAUUUCGGGGGUCUCUCCCAGGGUCAGACUCGUUCCCCGAGCGCCGCCCCCCCCGCAAGGGGAACACUCUCUACGUGCACGGCGCCGAGCUCAGCCCGGAGCUGCUGCGCGGAGCCUUCGGCCCCUUCGGCGCCAUCAUCGACCUCUCCAUGGACACGCCCCGGAACUGCGCCUUCGUCACCUUUGAGAAGAUGGAGUCGGCCGACCAGGCCAUGGCCGAGCUGAACGGGGCCGUGGUGCAGGACGUGCAGCUCAAGGUCUCCAUCGCCCGCAAGCAGCCGCUGCUGGACGCGGCCACCGGCAAAUCGCUCUGGGGGUCCCUGGGUGAGCUGGGGGGCCUGGG